rnacentral:rRNA from 1 species
GACGUAGGGCGCGAGCGUUGUCCGGAAUUAUUGGGCGUAAAGAGCUCGUAGGCGGACUGUCACGUCUGCUGUGAAAAGCUAGGGCUUAACCCUGGCCUUGCAGUGGAUACGGGCAGACUAGAGGUAGGUAGGGGAGAAUGGAAUUCCCGGUGUAGCGGUGAAAUGCGCAGAUAUCGGGAGGAACACCGGUGGCGAAGGCGGUUCUCUGGGCCUUACCUGACGCUGAGGAGCGAAAGCGUGGGGAGCGAACAGG